GGGAUCUCAAGUAAAGCAGAUGCAGGACUUUCUAAAGAGCGCACAGAGUAUUAUAUGCAAUGAGGUGCGCAGAUUAACACCUUUACUGAAAAAUGCUGGACUGCUAGUUCAUCUGAAGGACAGUUACAGCCGUCACCUCUUUACCAACCUGGACCUGCUACUAAACAGAGAUCUGUCUGUAAAACAGAUCUUCUGCCUUAUUAUGUGGGAAAAAGAUGUUUUCUUCAGUCCAGACUCAAAACUGAGUGUGUACGACCCUUCGCUGCUGACAGGAAGGUUUGAGAGAGCAAAGCAGAAACUGCUUCAAGUACUUCAGGUCAUUGUGAAAAUAGCUUACGACAGUGUUUCCAAAGUGUACCUGGAAUGCUUGAUGAAGACAAAUGUCAGAAAGCUAGAGAUGCUUUGGGGAAAUGCUGAGGAAAAGAUAAAAGAGGAUGUUCAACAUUUUCACCAAAUAUUCUCUGACCUGAAUGGCAUUGCUGCCCAGGAGAGCUCCUUCAGAGAAUGAGUGUUUUGCUUUACAGUCAUGUAAAAACGAAGGACGUUACCAAUGCUUUGUUCAAAGACUUCCCUCAGGAGAGUGAGCAGUAUGUACCUGGUCUGCUGCGCUGGAAGGGUGUGUUAUCAGAGCAACAGGUGAAGGAAGUGCUGGAUGAGAUUCGGGAACCCUGCCAAAAUCCAGAUCCUACACAUGUCACCUGUUUUCUUCUGAAGGGACUUUUUUGUUGUAAAUAGCUUGAGGUCAGAGGUCAGUAAAAGUAAGCUAUGGAGAAUGUUCUCUGAACAUUGUGCUAUUUAUAUUUUCAAGCAUUCAGAUCUGAUGUUAAUUUUUAAAAUAUGUCCUAAAUCUUUUUUGUUCACACCUGUCUAAAACAAACUGUUGGUGUUCCGAACAAAGUGAAAAUACAGGUGAAUUGGAAACAAUUACUCUGUAAAGACUGACAUUUGAAAUAAUAGUUAGAACAAUUUUUUUUUUAAAUGGGACAGUUUAUUAAAAAUGUAUAUGCCAACUUACAUAAAAUGCAUUUAAAUAUUAGUUGUCACUCUGUAUCUUCCAAUAGUAUGUCUUAGUAAAAUGAUAUUUAAAUGCUUAGUUUUAUUAUCAAAGCUCUGUAGUUAUUUAUUGUUGGGCAAAACAUAUAAUGCAAUGCAAUACAAUAAUUGUUGAGAAAUUAACCUCUUAAGCACAGGGCUAUUUUGGGGAUUUCCGCCUGGCAUUUUUCCUACCCAAAUUCAAAAGCUUCCCAUACCCACAUGCAGAGGUGUACAUACAAAAGUUUGGUAUCAUUUUACAGGAAAUCCUUUGAAAUUACAUAAAACAGUGUUGAAACUGAUAAAAAUGGUUUAAUAUGUUGUCUGUGUUAUAAUAAAUGGGGAAAAAAAAAGGCGCUUUUUGAUUUUUUUUUUUAUAAACUGAAGUUUGAAAUUGUAUAGCUCAGGUUCUGAGAGGUCCAGCAUCCUGCAAACAAUUGUAUUUGUUUCCAGCACAUGUCAGCUAAUAGAGGAAAAAGGAAAUUUGUUUCUAUCAUAAUCUAUGCAAAAGUUAUUCUAUUCCAUCUAAAGGGAGGAAUAAUACCCUUUUUGUAUACAUUUUCCGACUACCCACAUUUGAAGACUCCAAAUACCCACAUAUAGUAGAAUAGAUGCAAUAUCUUUAUAUCCUUUUACAGAAAACCCUUUGAAGUGACAUAAAAAGCUGCUGUUUGUGACAAAUAUUAUUAUUUGUGUUGUUUUUCACAUGAUGAACCACCUCAAUACAAGGCGCUUUUUUUGUGUGUUCUAAACACUUUCUUUGAAAGUAGAUAACUCAGGCCCUGUGUGCUCUAGCAAACUGCAUUACUUUAUAAAAUAUAUCUGGUCUAUCACAAUCUAAAAUAGAAUCCACAUUCUCCAGCUUUAUAUCAUUUCAUUCAUGUGCAUUCUGUAUUGGUAUACUGAUUCAGAGCAUCUGACCUCAGCAUCCACUGUCUCACUUCAGCAUCUUCAGCACCCUCUUUGUCUGUUUGGUCGCGAGCUGCGGGCUAUCCGCUAACCGGAGCUGCUAUAUGGCCUUCAGAGCGUCAAAGAAACACAUAUAUGUUCAUCCACACAGCACUGUAAUAAUCCAUGUGUAUUUACUGUAUAUUUACUGAAAUGCAUCAUGUACUGUACUUUUCUGUCAAUAAACAGUUUAUCAGAUUGUCA
ensembl:lncRNA